rnacentral:rRNA from 1 species
CAUUAUUGAAAUAAACCUGAUGGGUUGCUGCUGGCUCUCUAAGGAGCAUGUGCACACUUGUCAUCUUUAUAUCUCCACCUGUGCACCUUUUGUAGAUCUGGAUAUCUUUCUGAAUGCCUGGCAUUCAGGUUUGAGGAUUGACUUUUGUCUUUCCUUACAUUUCCAGGCCUAUGUUUUCUUCAUAUACACCAUUUAUGUUAUAGAAUGUAAUGAAAAGGGCCUUUGUGCCUACAAACCUUAUACAACUUUCAGCAACGGAUCUCUUGGCUCUCGCAUCGAUGAAGAACGCAGCGAAAUGCGAUAAGUAAUGUGAAUUGCAGAAUUCAGUGAAUCAUCGAAUCUUUGAACGCACCUUGCGCUCCUUGGUAUUCCGAGGAGCAUGCCUGUUUGAGUGUCAUUAAUAUAUCAACCUCCUCAGGUUUUGACUUGUCGAGUGUUUGGAUGUGGGGGUCUUUUGCUGGUCUCUUUUGAGGUCGGCUCCCCUAAAAUGCAUUAGCGGAACAAUUUGUUGACCCGUUCAUUGGUGUGAUAACUAUCUACGCUUUUGACGUGAAACAGGUUCAGCUUCUAACAGUCCAUUGACUUGGACAAAUUUUCAUUAAUGUG